rnacentral:rRNA from 1 species
UACGGAGGGUGCAAGCGUUAUCCGGAUUCACUGGGUUUAAAGGGUGCGUAGGUGGGCAGGUAAGUCAGUGGUGAAAUCUCUGGGCUUAACCCGGAAACUGCCAUUGAUACUAUAGGUCUUGAAUACUCUGGAGGUAAGCGGAAUAUGUCAUGUAGCGGUGAAAUGCUUAGAUAUGACAUAGAACACCAAUUGCGAAGGCAGCUUACUACGGGGUCAUUGACACUGAGGCACGAAAGCGUGGGGAUCAAACAGG